rnacentral:rRNA from 1 species
UGGGGAAUUUUCCGCAAUGGGCGCAAGCCUGACGGAGCAACGCCGCGUGAGGGAGGAAGGCCUGUGGGUUGUAAACCUCUUUUUUAGGGAAGAAUAUAUGACGGUACCUAAAGAAUAAGCAUCGGCUAACUCCGUGCCAGCAGCCGCGGUAAUACGGGGGAUGCAAGCGUUAUCCGGAAUCACUGGGCGUAAAGCGUCUGCAGGUGGUUUAAUAAGUCUGCUGUUAAAUAUUAGAGCUUAACUCUGAAAAAGCAGUGGAAACUGUUGAACUAGAGUAUGGUAUGGGUAGAGGGAAUUCCCAGUGUAGCGGUGAAAUGCGUAGAUAUUGGGAAGAACACCAGUGGCGAAAGCGCUCUGCUAGGCCAUUACUGACACUCAGAGACGAAAGCUAGGGGAGCAAAUGGGAUUAGAUACCCCCGUAGUCC